CAGUCUAGCACUCUAAUCACUAUACCACACUGGCUCUCUGCUGCGGAGACAUGUGUCGGGUGGAUGGCUGCUGUGGGGAUGGCAAGGGGCGACCAAGACCAAGUGGAAGAAAGGCCAGUAGCAUAAGUUCCCAUAAGCUCCAGAGCAAAUGCAAUGUGCUCUAGCAAAAGUGAGGCUGUUUACGUCAUAGAGGUGGGCUUGUUGCAGAAGGAGGAGAGAGAAGUCUGGCAAGGCAUUCACACACCCUGGGAGUAAGGACACAGAACUGAGCAAGGGGGGGGUAGACAGGGUGGGUUAGAGGCAAGACAACUAGGAAGAGCGAGGCAUCUCUCUUACCCUGUCCAGAUGGAGGAGCGUCUGCGUUGGGCAGUCCCUCCGUUUAACACAGGGAGCAGAGGCAGCCCCAACCCAGCAGGCAAAGGAGGUUUCCAAGCAGCAUCGCCAUGGGUUGCAUGUGUGUGUGCAAGGGAGGGCAGCGCCAGCAGUGCUAGAUUCAGAAAACGCUUCAGCUCAAGAAUGAACAGGUUGCAGCAAGGGAAAGAGGACAGUGUGCCAGCACAGCAAAGGCUUUAACAUAGUGGCAUCAGUACUUUCGAACGCUGCUCCUAUCGACAUCAGACAGGCAAGCAACAGGCAUUAUUGGAGUCCAAGGACACUCCAGGCAGGCAAAAUUACGUGGAGGUGCUAAGCAGGGUCACUGAAGAGUAUGACUGCAGAGUGGUUGUGGCCUGAGGAGAAUCCCAGGACCAGAGGGAGAGGCCGGGAGGACUGCAUUUGGCCCCCAGGCCUGAGGUUCCCCACCCCUGUAUUGACCCCUCUCUUCAUCUGAAUUUCAGGCCCCUGAUGAAAUCCAUUUUUAAAAAACCCAAAAUGGAGUUCUUUGGGGCUGCAAUCAGGAAUAUGUAAUUUUACAUAUAUAAUUAAUUUUAAUUACUUACAUGUAAUAUGUAAUUAAUUGUUUAAUUUUUGGUUUAGAAUGGGUAUAUCUCCACCCUGGGACC